rnacentral:lncRNA from 1 species
AUUUUCUGGAAUUUAUUCUGAUCUUUAGCUUCAUCAGGGACACUGGUCCAACUGCUGACAUUCUGGGUGGGAUGGGAGAUACUGAACUCAAAGUGCAGAUUUCAGUAUGCUGAGUUAAAGACUUGUGUUGGACAUCACUCUUCAAUAAGUCUUGACAAAACUUCCACUGUUUCCAAUCUGUGCUCCGGCCACAUCCCUUCAAACCGGAACAAAGAAGAAGCGCAUCCUGAAGGCCCUGCUGAGGCUCCUGGCUUCUCAGGCUGCUUCUCAGGCUGACCAGCCUGGCUUCUCAGGCUGACCAGCCACAUGGUCCAAACACCACCACCCUCAGCUGUGUGCCCUCCUCGCCCCAAUCCUCCUCAUCGCUGCUCUGCAUAGGCCUGCAGCAGAAGCAGAUGUGGUGAAGCUGCUGCACCUCAGGGACUGUCUGUGUCGGGGUGGGCAUCUGCAGCUCACUAGCAUGUAGCCGGACCUGCUGGAGCAGCGACUUUGAGCGGCAGCUGCAGACGCCCACGUCAGGGCCACGUAACAUGCUUGACAACAACAAGGUUCACAAGGUUCAGCCAUUUAUUUUGACUCAUGACUGAUUUAUUCUUUAUUCUUCACCUGCACACAAAUGAAGUGAAAGUGAAGUGAUUGUCAUUGUGAUACACUGCAGCACAGCACACGGUGCACACAACGAAAUGUGUCCUCUGCUUUUAACAUCACCCUUGACAGGCGCCCGGGGAGCAGUGUGUGGGGACGGUUUUGUCCGGGGUUUUUGACGGG